rnacentral:rRNA from 1 species
AUGAACGCUAGCGGCAGGCUUAACACAUGCAAGUCGAGGGGCAGCACGGGUAGCAAUACUUGGUGGCGACCGGCGCAAGGGUGCGUAACGCGUGAGCAACAUGCCCGUAUCAGGGGGAUAAUCCAGGGAAACUUGGUCUAAUACCCCAUAGCAAUUAAAGGAGGCAUCUUUUUAAUUUAAAGCUUUGGUGGAUACGGAUUGGCUCGCGUGACAUUAGCUAGAUGGUAAGGUAACGGCUUACCAUGGCUACGAUGUCUAGGGGUUCUGAGAGGAAGAUCCCCCACACUGGAACUGAGACACGGUCCAGACUCCUACGGGAGGCAGCAGUGAGGAAUAUUGGACAAUGGAUGGAAAUCUGAUCCAGCCAUGCCGCGUGCAGGAAGACGGCCCUAUGGGUUGUAAACUGCUUUUAUAUGGGAGCAAUAAGGUCUACGUGUAGACUGAUGAGAGUACCAUAUGAAUAAGCAUCGGCUAACUCCGUG